GCUGGGGGCAGGUGUGUCGGUUGGAGCCAAGCUGGGCCGGCGGGGCAGGUCCAGGUUUGGGACAGGAAACACUGGCUCUGUGGUAAAGAAGGCCUUGAACUCUUGCUGAGGACUGUGGAACCGCUGUGAUUGGCUGACAUUUACCUCCUGAGAGGAUCUUCUCCUGUGACAUGUUCUCCAAUCACACCAAAGUCCACCGCAGUUUGC